AUACGAAAGGUGCAAGCGUUGUUCGGAUUUACUGGGCGUAAAGAGAGUGUAGGUUGUUUAUUAAGUCGGAUGUGAAAUCCCGGGGCUCAACCUCGGAACUGCAUUCGAUACUGAUAGGCUAGAGUUUGGGAGGGGUAAGCGGAAUUCCGUGUGUAGCAGUGAAAUGCGUAGAUAUACGGAGGAACACCUGAGUCGAAGGCGGCUUACUGGACCAAUACUGACACUGAGACUCGAAAGCGUGGGUAGCAAACAGGAUUAGAUACCCUAGUAGUCC
rnacentral:rRNA from 1 species